rnacentral:rRNA from 1 species
AAAAGUACUCUGAAAAGAGAGUUAAAAAGUACGUGAAACCGUUGGAAGGGAAGCGAAUGGAGUCGGCAAUUCGCCUCGACGUGCUCUCUCGCGACCUGUUCAGGCGCGAAUUGCGCGGUCGCGUUACGCGUGUGGUGCACUUCGGCGGGCGAGCGUCAACGCCAGUCAACCGCGAGUUACAAAGCUGCAAGCACGGUACAUUCUUCGGAAUGGGUAAGUCUUGCCUGCGCACGACUCGCGCGAGACUGUCCUCUGUCGCAGCGUGUACCGAGGCUGCUGCCUUCGUUGUCGAUCCGGUCGUGCUGUCCGGCGGACGGCUGUGCCUGUGCGUCGGCGGUGCCGAUCAACUGACCUAGUCGCAGACACGACACGCUCAGUACGUUGACCGACCUGCGUCUCCAUCCGACCCGUCUUGAAACACGGACCAAGGAGUCCAACAUGUGCGCAAGUCUCAGGGUGAUCGAAACCCGUCGGGCGCAAUGAAAGUAAAUGCGGUCUCGCCUGCAGAGAUGAGAAGCGGCGCCGCCACAUCAUCGACCGACCUGUUCUACUCUUAGAAAGGUUUGAGUUAGAGCGCACCUGUUGGGACCCGAAAGAUGGUGAACUAUGCCUGAAUAGGGCGAAGCCAGCGGAAACACUGGUGGAAGCUCGUAGCGUUUCUGACGUGCAAAUCGAUCGUCGAAUUUGGGUAUAGCGGCGAAAGACUAAUCGAACCAUCUAGUAGCUGGUUCCCUCUGAAGUUUCUCACAGGAUAGCUGGAACUCGGAUGCAGUUU